rnacentral:rRNA from 1 species
CGGAAUCCGCGAGGACCAUCUCGCAAGGCUAAAUACUCCCUAGUGACCGAUAGUGAACCAGUACCGUGAGGGAAAGGUGAAAAGCACCCCGGGAGGGGAGUGAAAUAGUUCCUGAAACCAUGUGCCUACAAGCUGUCGGAGCCCGUUAAUGGGUGACGGCGUGCCUCUUGCAGAAUGAACCGGCGAGUCAUGAUUACGUGCAAGGUUAAGGUGGAAAAACCGGAGCCGCAGCGAAAGCGAGUCUGAAAUGGGCGCA